UAAAAUCUUUAAAAAAAAAAACAGAGUACACUCCAACUGCAUGCGAGAGCAACCUGGAGAGACUUUGACAGCUCAGGUCAAAGAGCUGCAGCUACCUGCAGCUACCACUCGCAUUUCCUAUAUCA